ACGAACGCUGGCGGCGUGCUUAACACAUGCAAGUCGAACGGAAAGGCCUUUUCGGAGGUACUCGAGUGGCGAACGGGUGAGUAACACGUGGGUGAUCUGCCCUGCACUCUGGGAUAAGCCUGGGAAACUGGGUCUAAUACCGGAUAGGACCGCACUUUAGUGUGUGUGGUGGAAAGUUGUUUCGGUGUAGGAUGAGCCCGCGGCCUAUCAGCUUGUUGGUGGGGUAAUGGCCUACCAAGGCGGCGACGGGUAGCCGGACUGAGAGGUUGGUCGGCCACAUUGGGACUGAGAUACGGCCCAGACUCCUACGGGAGGCAGCAGUGGGGAAUAUUGCACAAUGGGCGCAAGCCUGAUGCAGCGACGCCGCGUGGGGGAUGACGGCCUUCGGGUUGUAAACUCCUUUCGCCAGGGACGAAGCGUUUUGUGACGGUACCUGGAGAAGAAGCACCGGCUAACUACGUG
rnacentral:rRNA from 1 species